rnacentral:rRNA from 1 species
UACGGAGGGUGCGAGCGUUGUCCGGAAUCACUGGGCGUAAAGGGCGCGUAGGCGGCUCAUGAAGGCUGUGGUGAAAGUCCGGGGCUCAACCUCGGAUCGGCCGUGGCGACUCGUGGGCUGGAGCACUGUAGAGGCGGGUGGAAUUCCGGGUGUAGCGGUGGAAUGCGUAGAGAUCCGGAAGAACACCAGUGGCGAAGGCGGCCCGCUGGGCAGUGGCUGACGCUGAGGCGCGACAGGCGUGGGGAGCAAACAGG